rnacentral:rRNA from 1 species
AUGGCCUUCCUACAACCUAAGAAGUGGAUGAACUGGCUCUCUCUCGCUGAAUGGUGGUAUAACACUAGUUACCAUAUAGCUCUGCAAAUUACUCCCUUCCAAGCACUGUAUAGUAGACCUCCAAACAUGAUCUCUGAAGCAGCCCUUUACCAUACUGAACAAGUACAAGAAUUUUCUUCAGUACUCACUGCAGAACAAACAGCAGCUCAGAUCAAGACAAAUCUAUUGAAGGCUCAAACUCGAAUGAAACACUAUGCAGAUAAAAAGAGAUCUGAAAGAACUCUAGAAGUGGGUGACAUGGUGUAUCUCAAGCUCCAGCCUUACAGACACACUACGCUGAGUGUCCAUCGAUGUCUCAAACUCCACUCCAAGUAUUAUGGCCCUUUCCGAAUACAAGAGAAAAUUGUCCUAGUGGCUUACAAACUGCUGUUACCGGAGGACUGCAAAUUGCAUCCCACAUUCCAUGUCAGCCAACUGAAAAAGCACUUGGGGCCACAGGCCAUCCCACACCCCAAACUCCCACUCAUCAAUGCAGACGACACAAUUCUUCUGGAACCUGAGCGGCUCCUAGAGAGAAAACUCAUCCCCAGAACUCAGGGUGAUAUCCAAAUACCAGUGGUGCGCUGGCUCAUCAAAUGGUGUAACAUGGAGGAGAAGGAUGCUACUUGGGAGGAUGCAACGUUUAUCCAAAAGGUUUUCCCUGCAUUUCAGCCCCGAGGACUGGUCUGA